AUCAAAGAAGGUAAUAAUCCUGUAGUCGAAAAUGUUGUCUCUCUUGAGUGGAUCCUGAGUACGACGGAGCACGUGAAAUUCCGUCGGAAUCUGGGAGGACCAUCUCCUAAGGCUAAAUACUCUCUAGUGACCGAUAGUGAACCAGUACCGUGAGGGAAAGGUGAAAAGCACCCCGGAAGGGGAGUGAAAUAGAACCUGAAACCGUGUGCUUACAAGUAGUCAGAGCCCGUUAAUGGGUGAUGGCGUGCCUUUUGUAGAAUGAACCGGCGAGUUACGAUUUGAUGCAAGGUUAAGCAGUAAAUGUGGAGCCGUAGCGAAAGCGAGUCUGAAUAGGGCGUUUAGUAUUUGGUCGUAGACCCGAAACCAGGUGAUCUACCCUUGGUCAGGUUGAAGUUCAGGUAACACUGAAUGGAGGACCGAACCGACUUACGUUGAAAAGUGAGCGGAUGAACUGAGGGUAGCGGAGAAAUUCCAAUCGAACCUGGAGAUAGCUGGUUCUCUCCGAAAUAGCUUUAGGGCUAGCCUCAAGUGAUGAUUAUUGGAGGUAGAGCACUGUUUGGACGAGGGGCCCCUCUCGGGUUACCGAAUUCAGACAAACUCCGAAUGCCAAUUAAUUUAACUUGGGAGUCAGAACAUGGGUGAUAAGGUCCGUGUUCGAAAGGGAAACAGCCCAGACCACCAGCUAAGGUCCCAAAAUAUAUGUUAAGUGGAAAAGGAUGUGGCGUUGCCCAGACAACUAGGAUGUUGGCUUAGAAGCAGCCAUCAUUUAAAGAGUGCGUAAUAGCUCACUAGUCGAGUGACACUGCGCCGAAAAUGUACCGGGGCUAAACAUAUUACCGAAGCUGUGGAUUGUCCUUUGGACAAUGGUAGGAGAGCGUUCUAAGGGCGUUGAAGCAUGAUCGUAAGGACAUGUGGAGCGCUUAGAAGUGAGAAUGCCGGUGUGAGUAGCGAAAGACGGGUGAGAAUCCCGUCCACCGAUUGACUAAGGUUUCCAGAGGAAGGCUCGUCCGCUCUGGGUUAGUCGGGUCCUAAGCUGAGGCCGACAGGCGUAGGCGAUGGAUAACAGGUUGAUAUUCCUGUACCACCUAUAAUCGUUUUAAUCGAUGGGGGGACGCAGUAGGAUAGGCGAAGCGUGCGAUUGGAUUGCACGUCUAAGCAGUAAGGCUGAGUAUUAGGCAAAUCCGGUACUCGUUAAGGCUGAGCUGUGAUGGGGAGAAGACAUUGUGUCUUCGAGUCGUUGAUUUCACACUGCCGAGAAAAGCCUCUAGAUAGAAAAUAGGUGCCCGUACCGCAAACCGACACAGGUAGUCAAGAUGAGAAUUCUAAGGUGAGCGAGCGAACUCUCGUUAAGGAACUCGGCAAAAUGACCCCGUAACUUCGGGAGAAGGGGUGCUCUUUAGGGUUAACGCCCAGAAGAGCCGCAGUGAAUAGGCCCAAGCGACUGUUUAUCAAAAACACAGGUCUCUGCUAAACCGUAAGGUGAUGUAUAGGGGCUGACGCCUGCCCGGUGCUGGAAGGUUAAGAGGAGUGGUUAGCUUCUGCGAAGCUACGAAUCGAAGCCCCAGUAAACGGCGGCCGUAACUAUAACGGUCCUAAGGUAGCGAAAUUCCUUGUCGGGUAAGUUCCGACCCGCACGAAAGGCGUAACGAUUUGGGCACUGUCUCAACGAGAGACUCGGUGAAAUCAUAGUACCUGUGAAGAUGCAGGUUACCCGCGACAGGACGGAAAGACCCCGUGGAGCUUUACUGUAGCCUGAUAUUGAAAUUCGGCACAGCUUGUACAGGAUAGGUAGGAGCCUUUGAAACGUGAGCGCUAGCUUACGUGGAGGCGCUGGUGGGAUACUACCCUAGCUGUGUUGGCUUUCUAACCCGCACCACUUAUCGUGGUGGGAGACAGUGUCAGGCGGGCAGUUUGACUGGGGCGGUCGCCUCCUAAAAGGUAACGGAGGCGCUCAAAGGUUCCCUCAGAAUGGUUGGAAAUCAUUCAUAGAGUGUAAAGGCAUAAGGGAGCUUGACUGCGAGACCUACAAGUCGAGCAGGGUCGAAAGACGGACUUAGUGAUCCGGUGGUUCCGCAUGGAAGGGCCAUCGCUCAACGGAUAAAAGCUACCCCGGGGAUAACAGGCUUAUCUCCCCCAAGAGUUCACAUCGACGGGGAGGUUUGGCACCUCGAUGUCGGCUCAUCGCAUCCUGGGGCUGUAGUCGGUCCCAAGGGUUGGGCUGUUCGCCCAUUAAAGCGGUACGCGAGCUGGGUUCAGAACGUCGUGAGACAGUUCGGUCCCUAUCCGUCGUGGGCGUAGGAAAUUUGAGAGGAGCUGUCCUUAGUACGAGAGGACCGGGAUGGACAUACCUCUGGUGUACCAGUUGUCGU
rnacentral:rRNA from 1 species